GACGAACGCUGGCGGCGUGCUUAACACAUGCAAGUCGAACGGAAAGGCCCUGCUUUUGUGGGGUGCUCGAGUGGCGAACGGGUGAGUAACACGUGAGUAACCUGCCCUUGACUUUGGGAUAACUUCAGGAAACUGGGGCUAAUACCGGAUAGGAGCUCCUGCUGCAUGGUGGGGGUUGGAAAGUUUCGGCGGUUGGGGAUGGACUCGCGGCUUAUCAGCUUGUUGGUGGGGUAGUGGCUUACCAAGGCUUUGACGGGUAGCCGGCCUGAGAGGGUGACCGGCCACAUUGGGACUGAGAUACGGCCCAGACUCGUACGGGAGGCAGCAGUGGGGAAUAUUGCACAGUGGGCGGAAGCCUGAUGCAGCAACGCCGCGUGCGGGAUGACGGCCUUCGGGUUGUAAACCGCUUUCGCCUGUGACGAAGCGUGAGUGACGGUAAUGGGUAAAGAAGCACCGGCUAACUACGUG
rnacentral:rRNA from 1 species